UACGUAGGUGGCAAGCGUUAUCCGGAUUUACUGGGUGUAAAGGGCGUGUAGGCGGGAAAGCAAGUCAGAUGUGAAGACCACGGGCUCAACCUGUGGCCUGCAUUUGAAACUGUUUUUCUUGAGUACUGGAGAGGCAGACGGAAUUCCUAGUGUAGCGGUGAAAUGCGUAGAUAUUAGGAGGAACACCAGUGGCGAAGGCGGUCUGCUGGACAGCAACUGACGCUGAGGCGCGAAAGCGUGGGGAGCAAACAGG
rnacentral:rRNA from 1 species